UGGCUCAGUUUGUAGAGCAUGGUGUUUGCAACGCCAGGGUUGUGGGUUCGAUUCCCAC
rfam:Salmo salar isolate Sally breed double haploid chromosome ssa13, whole genome shotgun sequence.